UCAAGAAACUUCCACAAUGGGCGAAAGCCUGAUGGGGCGACGUCGCGUGAUGGACGAAGUGCUUCGGCACGUAAACAUCUUUUAUGUGGGAUGAAAUUAUUGACAGUACCACAUGAAUAAGGGGCUCCUAACUCUGUGCCAGCAGGAGCGGUAAUACAGAGGCCCCAAGCGUUAUCCGGAAUCACUGGGCGUAAAGGGUGUCGAGGCGGUUGUAUUAGUCGUUCGUAAAAUCUACGAGCUUAACUUGUAGGCGGCGAACGAAACGGUACGACUUGAGGUUUGGAGAGGUGCGUGGAACUCACGGUGUAGGGGUGAAAUCCGUUGAUAUCGUGGGGAACACCAAAGGCGAAGGCAGCGCACUGGCCAAAAUCUGACGCUCACACACGAAAGCUAGGGUAGCGAAGAGGAUUAGAUACCCAUGUAGUCCCUGAGCGGGCUGGCAAGGCGCAU
rnacentral:rRNA from 1 species